rnacentral:rRNA from 1 species
AACGAACGCUGGCGGCAGGCUUAACACAUGCAAGUCGAACGCCCCGCAAGGGGAGUGGCAGACGGGUGAGUAACGCGUGGGAACAUACCCUUUCCUGCGGAAUAGCUCUGGGAAACUGGAAUUAAUACCGCAUACGCCCUACGGGGGAAAGGUUUAUCGGGGAAGGAUUGGCCCGCGUUGGAUUAGCUAGUUGGUGGGGUAAAGGCCUACCAAGGCGACGAUCCAUAGCUGGUCUGAGAGGAUGAUCAGCCACAUUGGGACUGAGACACGGCCCAAACUCCUACGGGAGGCAGCAGUGGGGAAUAUUGGACAAUGGGCGCAAGCCUGAUCCAGCCAUGCCGCGUGAGUGAUGAAGACCUUAGGGUUGUAAAGCUCUUUCACCGAUGAAGAUAAUGACGGUAGUCGGAGAAGAAGCCCCGGCUAACUUCGUGCCAGCCGCCGCGGUAACAC